rnacentral:lncRNA from 1 species
AGAGCGGCGACGGCUGGAGGCGGCACCGAUGGCAGUGUUGCUGGUCGAUGAAGCAGCAGGUAAGGGAGGUUGACGAGAACGAAACGGAGACGAGGGUGGUCGUCCAUGGCUGUUGCGUGUGAAGGAGAAGAAGCAACAGCCAUGGCUAGGGUUUUCUAGGAAGAAGAAGAUGAGCUAGGUUUUUGGUCUUUCAAAAAUGAAGAAGGAGAUGUAACAAAAUGAAUUAAAACGGCUGAUGAGUUAAGUGUAGGGUUUGGGGUUAUUUGGGGCAAGGACCAAGUAGGGUAUGGGUCAUGGGCCGUGGGCCUGGUAUUGUUUUGGGUUGGAUAGAAGUGUUUUGGGCCUAAUUUUAAUUUCGAAAAUUGGCCCAAUUCGAGUUUGUUCUUCUUAUUUUUUUUGUUCUCUUUUCUUUUAAUUAAUAAAACUAAAAUUCUAAAUUAAGUUAUAAACUAAGUUUAAC